rnacentral:lncRNA from 1 species
UGUCCACUUACCUCAGUGAGGUCCAUAAAACAACAUAUGAAAGCAAUAACAUUAUCAUCAUCAUGAAAUCAUAUGAACUGUAUAACAAAAUACUUACCACGCCUUUGCAUUUCAAUCAUUAAACAACACAUUUUCCUCAUUUACCAGCCUACUAGUAUCCAUGGGGAUCCAUAGGGGUCCUGCUACCCGUGAACCCUUAACAUUUAUAACCUGAUUCCAGAGCCGUCCCCAUACCCCGUCCGGUAUGGGCACCAAAACCAUGAACCUCAAUACCCCGUCCGGUAUGAGGGUGAAACGGGCCGUCCCCAUACCCCGUCCGGUAUAGGCGCCAAAACACAUAAGAUCUCCAUACCCCGUCCGAUAUGAGAGACCACGUUCCCGGUAGGGUUCCCUACGGACCCGGUCCGUCCACCAUCUCUCAGGAUAUCUAGUCAGGCUGUCCACAUUAUUCACUAUCAAUUCACAUAACCUUUUUGACCUUUUUCUUGGUUUCAAUCAACCAAACACACACAACAUGUAAACCAGUAAUGGACACCAAACAAGACAACACACAACAUCAGGUUCUCAGUCAUUCAACCCAUAGUCAAUAAAACAGUGAUAUAUGCACACAAAACUAUGAAAUGAAAACACCAGACAUCAUACUGCAUUUAAAACUGUGAAAUAGAACAAACAACAACUGACCGACAAAUACACCAGACUCGGGCUCCAUUAGCGACCUUAAACAAUUUCACACAUCUAUUGAUUCAUGAAAUACCGUUUUAUCAUUUAUUGAACUUUAAUACCGUGAUAGGAAAUAGGGUGAGGGGUCCUUACUUGUUUCGGGGUCUGAAUACAGCUCUACAGUGUGCCUACAGGCUGUCCCUAAUUUUCCUUGAAUUUUUCUCGGGGAACUAAAAUGCAUUACUGGUACCUGCACGUAUCCCAAAAAAUCCCAAAUUAGACCUAGGGCCCCUUUCGGCCAAUAUCACAAUUUCGGCACGGUGGCUCCGCUGUGCUCCGGCGACGCGGCGGCGAUUCGCCUUGAGUUGGCUGUUUUUGGCCGAAUUCGGCCACGCUUGCAUCGGUCCCUGGGAUAGAACAACCCUAGGGCCCUCGGUGGGCCGAAAAAUCACAAAAAAUCGAAACUUGCCGGCGGCGGUGCUCUCGGGUGCGGCGACUCCUCCGGCGUGAGUCGCGUUUUGAUGUUUGGCUCCGAUCAACCUGUAGAGAAAAGAACGGUAAUCACAGUGGUAUAAAAUUUGCAUCAAACGGAGGCCGGGAAGGGCCUCAUCGGAGGCAAAAACCGAGGAGGGGCGCGGCGGCGCUGCUGGGUUUCAGUUGGGUUUUUCGGCCGUUUGGCCGGUGGUUUAGCUACGGUUUGGCCAUAGGCGGACUCAGCGUCAAAAAACGAGCAAGGGGGAGAAAAAUUACCUUGACCGGCGGUCGGAAACUUCCCCGAUGCGGCGGCGGGUGGCGGCGGCCGGCUCCUCCGGCGUCUGGUUCUUCUUCUCCGGCGAGCACUGGCGGCUAGGGUUUCUUUGGUCAGGUGUGGGUGGGGGUAUUUAUACCCUUUGCCUUUUAAUCUUGACCGUCCAUCAACAUUGAAUCUGGGCCGUCCGAUCGCGAUUUAAUUGGGAUUAAAUCUGGGAUGUUCAUUGCGAUGCAAUCUGGGCCGUCCGUGCCUGAUUGAAUCUGGACCGUCCGUGCGCGUGGAUCUGGGCUGUCUUUGCGCACGUUUCAUCUAGGCCGUCCGUGUGCGCGGGAACAAAUCUGGGUCAUCCGAUCGUGCGCACGCGGAUCGCCCACGUGGCCCGUUCCCUGGUCAGCGUUGCCUUGCCACGCGGCGCGUUCUGGU